rnacentral:sRNA from 1 species
AAAAGGUGCAGAAGUUCUGUGGGAAGGCGGCUUCCCAGGGCGGGUGUGCUGGGGACCCACGCGGCACCGCGGGGAGGGGGCUCUGCGCGCUCAACCCCGUCCCGGGCACUAUCCGCCGCCUCCACCCGCCGGCCUCCCGCAGCCUGGCCAGCGCCAUGAGGACCAAGCAGGUGAACUUGCUGAUCACCCUGGUCGCCGUCGCGUUGUUCAGCUUCUCUUGCUUCUGCAUCUACAGGAUAACUCAAACCAAUAAUCAAUUAAUUAACUGUAGAAACCAUAUUUUGGAGUUUAAAGAAAAUAUGCUACACUUAAGAAACAAAACUGAAAAAAAUAGCCAAGAGAUGAAAGUUUUGAAUCGAAUGAAGUAUGAAAUUACAAAGAGAGAAAUUUUGUCAGGAAACUUAGAGUAAUGAAGAUUAUUUACAUUCUGUUGUUAAAAUGAUUACAAAAAAAUUCAAAAGGCAAGUGAGGUCUGGAUCCU